AUGCCUCGGGAGCUCGCAGGAUCGACGGUCAACGGCGCUGGAGUUCCUGUUGCGGUGGCGGUCAUGGUUCCGAUGGAACUUGGUGCGGAGGAAGGGGUCAGAUGGGGGGUCCGGGACUCAGACGCCGAUUGCAGGGAUGCUCGGGGCAGGGGAAGCAGCGACCAAGGGGGGCGGGAGGAGCUCAGCUCCCCUCGGACAUUGCAGGCUGCUGGUGGAGGAGAUGGUGGCACGGGCGCGUCAUGGUGGCAGAGGAGAAAGGAGGAGGCACCCCGAUCCGGCGGCGGCCAGCAACGGCUCCGGUGGCCGGCACGGUCAAGGGAACAUGCGAACGGGCGCAGCUCCAUGGCGAGGCAGCGGUGUUGGAGGAGGUCGGGCGGCGGCUCCUGCUGGCGCGAAGGUGGAGAGGUGCGGGGCGACGGCAGGGUGGCCUGGACGAGGCCGAGGCCGGGGAGGGAGCGGCCGGUGGAGGCCGGAGCCAGGAGUCGAGGCGGCGGAGCUCCUGCUCGGCGACAGGCGAGGCAGCAAGGAGGAGGCGAUCGGGGAAGCUCGGGGUGCGCCCCUGUGCACGAGCAAAGAGAGGGAAGGAGAUGGUGA
rnacentral:rRNA from 1 species